rnacentral:rRNA from 1 species
UGUGUAGGCGGUCUUCUAAGUUUGGUGUGAAAUCUCCCGGCUUAACUGGGAGGGUGCGCCGAAUACUGAAAGACUAGAGUGCGGGAGAGGAGAGUGGAAUUCCUGGUGUAGCGGUGAAAUGCGUAGAUAUCAGGAGGAACACCGGUGGUGUAGACGGCUCUCUGGACCGCAACUGACGCUGAAACACGAAAGCGUGGGUAGCAAACAGGAUUAGAUACCCUGGUAGUCCACGCCCUAAACGAUGCAUAUUUGGUGUGGGCAGUUCAGUCUGUCCGUGCCGGAGCUAACGCGUUAAAUAUGCCGCCUGGGGAGUACAGUCGCAAGGCUGAA